rnacentral:rRNA from 1 species
GCGCGAAAACUUUACAAUGCGAGCAAUCGUGAUAAGGAAACCCUGAGUGCCUGUCAAUGCAGGUUGUUCUGGUGUCUAACACACACCAGGAGAAAGGGCGG